UGGGGAAUUUUGCACAAUGGGGGAAACCCUGAUGCAGCGACGCCGCGUGAUUUAGAAGGCCUUCGGGUUGUAAAAAUCUUUUCUAUGGGAAGAAAAUGACAGUACCAUAGGAAUAAGGACCGGCUAAUUACGUGCCAGCAGCCGCGGUAAUACGUAAGGUCCGAGCGUUGUCCGGAAUCAUUGGGCGUAAAGGGUACGUAGGCGGGUAAGCAAGUUAGAAGUGAAAUCCUAUAGCUCAACUAUAGUAAGCUUUUAAAACUGCUCAUCUUGAAGUAUGGAAGGGAAAGUGGAAUUCCUAGUGUAGCGGUGAAAUGCGCAGAUAGUAGGAGGAAUACCGGUGGCGAAGGCGACUUUCUGGCCAUAACCUGACGCUGGGGUACGAAAGCGUGGGUAGCAAACAGG
rnacentral:rRNA from 1 species